GCCUUGUCUACACUACAAAGCUGCAGCACUGGUGAGGGGGUUACAGCGCUGCAACUUAGGAUGUGUACACACCCGCAGGGCAUUACCAGCGCUGCAACUCCCUGUUUGCAGCGCUGGCCGUACACCCGGUCGUGCCUCGGGUGUAGAGGAUCCAGCGCUGGAUCACCAGCGCUGGUCAUCAGGUGUAGACACUCACCAGCGUUUUUGUUGACCUCCGUGGAAUAAGCAGGUAUCCCAGCAUACCUGAGGAAGCCUCUCUGGUAAUCAAGCAAACUCCACUACCCUCCAAGCAGGUCUCCUUCCCUGCGGUGUGCUCUGGCGUUCCCCGACCCCCCCCUCCAAGCAGGUAUCCAGCCCCGCGGUGUGCUCUGGCGUUCCCCGACCCCCCCUCCAAGCAGGUCUCCUUCCCCGCGGUGUGCUCUGGCGUUCCCCGACCCCCCCUCCAAGCAGGUCUCCUUCCCCGCGGUGUGCUCUGGCGUUCCCCGACCCCCCCUCCAAGCAGGUCUCCUUCCCCGCGGUGUGCUCUGGCGUUCCCCGACCCCCCCUCCAAGCAGGUCUCCUUCCCCGCGGUGUGCUCUGGCGUUCCCCGACCCCCCCUCCAAGCAGGUCUCCUUCCCCGCGGUGUGC